rnacentral:lncRNA from 1 species
AGUGCUUCAAAAACCAACACCAAUGGAAAGAUACUUUGGAUGCUUUAACCAAUGUGCCAUGUAGGCAAGUAAAAUCAAAAUCAAACACAAAAAGUUCCCAUCUCAAGGUGAUUCAUGGCAGAAUUCUAUGCAAGAGACAAAAACUCAAAGUGGAAACAUUCUUUGAGUCAAAACAAACAUCUUUUGUGUUGGUCUAAAUCGGGUAAAAACUUUAAUGCACCUUCUCUCCUCCUUCCUAUCUCCAUUUUCGUUUUUCUUUCUCUACCAACACACCAUUCAUGUUUUCUUCCUCCAUACUACAGAAACAUAAACCCAACAGACCAAAGUUCAAAUUCCAAAUCAACACAAGAACAAUAAACUCAACAUAUGCUACUUCAACCCAACCAAAUCUUCCAUUUCUUCAAGCUUCCAUGCAAAAAACGAAAAUAAUACUUAAGCCAUCAACUCCAGUUCUGUCCAGCCACCAUAACAACACCAAGAUCUAAUCCCAUCCUUGUUUCAAGNAUCAAAACCAAAAAACAAGAAGAAAGAGUCCAAACCACAACACCCACACAUCAACUUAAGCUCUCUUUAACCCAAAACUAACAUAGAACUCCAUUUUUAUCAUCCAACCAAAUAAAAUGAGAUGAAAACCGAGAGGAACAGCAGCAAAAGGAAAGGAAAACGAAAUAUAGAGUUACUCAAACCCAACAUCCACCAUGGAAAUGCAAAGACAAGCUCCAAAACUCAAACUCCAAGCAUCAAGAACAACCAAAUGGAAGUGGAAAUGAAUGGUUUUUCACCACCAAUAAGCUAAGACAACCAAGAGUAAGUUAAGAGAAGAAGAAAAUCUGCAUCUUGCUCAUUGAAAUGGCCAAAACAGAGACACCCAAGUCAAGCUCUCCAUGAGAGUGUUCAUACAUGAAACCCUAAGAGAGAAAAGUUCAAAACAUGAAAAAAUGAAGUGUGUAAAGGUGCCUAAGAGUGUGUGGUCGGCCAAGGCUCUCCAAAUACCGAGAGUUUCCUUUCAAAUGGGGUCCACAAUCAAUUUUAAAACCCUAACCUAAAAGGCACAU